UGGAGAAUAGCUCAGUUGGUAGAGUGUUUAUCUCACGUGCAUAAGGCCCUGGAUUCAAUCCCCAGUACUACAC
rnacentral:tRNA from 1 species